UACGUAGGUGGCGAGCGUUGUCCGGAUUUACUGGGCGUAAAGAGCGCGCAGGCGGUCGUUCAAGUCGCGUGUGAAAGCCCCCGGCUCAACUGGGGAGGGUCACGCGAUACUGAUCGACUCGAAGGCAGGAGAGGGAAGUGGAAUUCCCGGUGUAGUGGUGAAAUGCGUAGAUAUCGGGAGGAACACCAGUGGCGAAGGCGGGUUGCUGGGCCGACACUGACGCUGAGGCGCGAAAGCCAGGGGAGCGAACGGG
rnacentral:rRNA from 1 species